rnacentral:rRNA from 1 species
UAACCUAAGAGUUUGAUCCUGGCUCAGAACGAACGCUGGCGGCAUGCCUAACACAUGCAAGUCGAACGCUAUCUUUGAUAGAGUGGCGCACGGGUGAGUAACGCGUGGGAACCUGCCUUUUUCUGCGGGACAACGGUUGGAAACGGCCGCUAAUACCGCAUACGCCCUACGGGGGAAAGGUCCGCCGGAGAAAGAGGGGCCCGCGUUAGAUUAGCUAGUUGGUGGGGUAAUGGCCUACCGAGGCGACGAUCUAUAGCUGGUCUGAGAGGAUGAUCAGCCACACUGGGACUGAGACACGGCCCAGACUCCUACGGGAGGCAGCAGUGGGGAAUAUUGGAC